rnacentral:rRNA from 1 species
AUUGAACGCUGGCGGCAUGCCUUACACAUGCUAGUCGAACGGUAACAGGUCUUCGGAUGCUGACGAGUGGCGCACGGGUGAGUAAUACAUCGGAACGUGCCCGAUCGUGGGGGAUAACGAGGCGAAAGCUUUGCUAAUACCGCAUACGAUCUACGGAUGAAAGCGGGGGAUCUUCGGACCUCGCGCGGACGGAGCGGCCGAUGGCAGAUUAGGUAGUUGGUGGGAUAAAAGCUUACCAAGCCGACGAUCUGUAGCUGGUCUGAGAGGAUGAUCAGCCACACUGGGACUGAGACACGGCCCAGACUCCUACGGGAGGCAGCAGUGGGGAAUUUUGGACAAUGGGCGAAAGCCUGAUCCAGCCAUGCCGCGUGCAGGAUGAAGGCCUUUGGGUUGUAAACUGCUUUUGUACGGAACGAAAAGCCUCUUUCUAAUAAAGAGGGGUCAUGACGGUACCGGAAGAAUAAGCACCGGCUAACUACGUG